rnacentral:rRNA from 1 species
GACGAACGCUGGCGGCGUGCCUAAUACAUGCAAGUCGAACGCAGUGGGGACGGGUGCGUAACACGUGGGUAACCUCCCAUCAUCGGGGAUAACACUUGGAAACAGGUGCUAAACCGAUACUGAUGUAUGGACCCGCGGUGAAUUAGCUAGUUGGUGAGGUACCGGCUCACCAAGGCCACGAUGCAUAGCCGACCUGAGAGGGUGAUAGGCCAAAGUGGGACUGAGACACGGCCCAGACUCCUACGUGAGGCAGAAGUAGGGAAUCUGCGGCAAUGGACGAAAGUCUGACCGAGCAACGCCGCGUGAGUGAAGAAGGUUUUCGGAUCGUAAAACUCUGUGGUUAGAGAAGCGGUAUCUAACCAGAAAGCCACGGCUAACUACGUGCGAGCAGCCGCGGUAAUAC